AUUGAACGCUGGCGGCAUGCUUUACACAUGCAAGUCGAACGGCAGCGGGUCCUUCGGGAUGCCGGCGAGUGGCGAACGGGUGAGUAAUGCAUCGGAACGUACCGUGUAAUGGGGGAUAACGUAGCGAAAGUUACGCUAAUACCGCAUACGCCCUGAGGGGGAAAGCGGGGGAUCGCAAGACCUCGCGUUAUACGAGCGGCCGAUGUCGGAUUAGCUAGUUGGUGGGGUAAAGGCCCACCAAGGCGACGAUCCGUAGCGGGUCUGAGAGGAUGAUCCGCCACACUGGGACUGAGACACGGCCCAGACUCCUACGGGAGGCAGCAGUGGGGAAUUUUGGACAAUGGGGGCAACCCUGAUCCAGCCAUGCCGCGUGCGGGAAGAAGGCC
rnacentral:rRNA from 1 species